UACUUUAAUAUAAGAAAACGCUGUGCGUCGUGAUGGAAACACCACAAGCUGAAGCUGCACGUUAUUCAAAACUCAAGUGGAUUGUUUUGCUUACCAUUCACAGGGCAUUUGUCAUCAUCUUCAUAACUUUAGAAACUCCUGUGAAGGCAGAGGGGCUUGGAUUUCACUCUUUCAUUUUCGCUGCUCCAUGUGUGUGAGAAUAUAACCCUCUUGUUGUCCCCGGGUCAAAUUUGACCCCUUUAAAACAUGUCUUAUGUCAUAUCUGAAAUAUGGGUUUCUUUUUAACCAAAUUACCACAAAAGAUGGAUUGCAUUCCAUUCCACGCUCUUAGCAAAUACAAUUGAUCACUUUCAUUUCUGAUGAAACUCAUCUCUUCGUUACUCUGAUCUUAACCAUUAGUCAAAAUAUUUCUUAAUUUCUGCUUUUUUAACUCAAAUAUUAGGUACACUUAUAUUUAAAUGAGGGUUAUUGACCGUGAAUUCCAAAACGUACUGUAAGAUGGUGUUAGUGAAAACUAAAAAAAAAGUCUGCAAAAAAGACAACACAAAGCCUCGUAACUGGGGGCAUCGCUGAGGGCAAGAUUGGAUGAUCUAGCGAUUUCAUUUGAUUUAUCUUUAGUAAUUAUCAGCGUGUUAUAGUAUUAAUGCAGCCACAACGGUAAAAAAAAGAAAGAAAAGUUUAUAUAGGCUCUUCCACCAGAGGGGCAGCUCAGCCAAUCAGGGCAAAUGGGCAGUUGCCCAGGCAACAAUAACCUGUGCAUAUCCCUGUUUAACAGUGUUUUCUAAUAUCCUAUUACCAUGUGUAUGUAUUUGAUACACACAUGCAUAGUGAUGAAAUUGAAUAUUGCAUCUUUAAUGUUGCUCAGGUAACCCUCUUUUAGACAUUAGGGUUCCACAUUGGUUUGUUGUUUUUGUUUAUUCAGUCAGCUCAAUCUCCUCAAAUCCUUUGAGCAAAGUCUUCUGAAAACUCAUUCCUCCAGUGUGUGGGGUCUUUUUAAUCUUCAAUUUAGAACCAAACGAAACUAGGAUCCCAAAACUGACGAGUUUGGUGAGCCAUAAACCUUUUCUCCUCGGCACCACAUCUGCCUCCCAGUAAUGCAGUGGGAUUGGCUGUUUCAAAGUUCAAGAGUCUCAGAAAGAAAAUACCUGCAGCUUCUUCAUUAAGUGGAGAGUUUUGUUCUAGUCUUGUCUUGUCUCACACCAGUAGGUCACAGUUGUCAGUGAAGUUCCUGUUUCCAUCAGUGUCUAGAACAGAGAAGCAUCUACACACUAAAAUUAAACAGGCCUCGGCUUUAGUUUUUUUUUUAAAUCUCUUUAAUGCUGUGUGUCACCCAUCUUACUCAUUUGCACUCUAUCUUGAGAGGCAGUUUGUCCAUUUGAGUCAAUUUUCUUAUUAAUGAUUGAUGAUCUUCACAUUCUGAUGAAUCAAAAUCAUUCCCCCUACUAUACAGAUAAGCACAGGAACAGAUGUUAUGUCCCAAAAACAAAUGGAAGCAGCACGGCUCUUUAUUUGGCGUAAAGCUUCUACAGCGUAAGCAAAGAGCGCGGUAAGAAGCUCUUCUGAGAAACAGACUUGAGCACUAGAAAUCCCACAACAUUUUUGGCACAUUUAUUGAUAACCGUUAUUACUAUUCUGUGUUCUGUUACUAUACUGGUAGUAAUAGAAAGCAAACGGGCUGAGUGCACGGGAAGAAGAAUAUCCCACUUCCAAUCUCUUUCCUCUCUGGUUUACAGUCUUUACAACAACUGCCUGUAACAGCUGUCUAGGUGGCUGUUUGCAUACAUCUAAUAACCAUCUAUUAUGUGUGCCUAUUUUAGGCAUAACCUCUUGGUAACACUUGAUUUUACAAACAAAAUUAACUAUAAGAGUGGUACAGUACAUUUUCUAACUGCUGGUGUGAUUUUUGUAACAAAACAUGUAUUGCCCUCUUGAUUGUUCUUUUGCGCUGAUUAUUUAAGGAAAUAUCACUAACCAAUAUACAGUAAAUUGUCCCGUUUUCCUGCAAAGGCCCUCUAUUUCUCUCAUUGUUAUCAGUAUACAAAAAGACCUGGUUUGAGAUUCUAUCACCUGGCUGUCCUGUUCAAGUCAUGUUGGGUUGACUUAUAAGAUCAAGUGUAAUCCCUUCCUUUUUACUGCCUACUUUAGAUUCAUUGCACUCUAUCUGCUGAUUUACAAGCAGACAUAAGGUGCGAGUGUAAAGCGUCCAUCUUAAAGGUGCAACACUCACUAAGCAACAGAAGUUCAAAGCCAAAAUUUGAAUAUAUGGCUUAAAAUGAAAAGGAAUAAAGUGUUUCCUAACUGAGUUGACUUGCAAGAAUGUGUAUGUAUAAACCAAAGUGUAACUUUUUAUUUUUGUUUUUUUAGAGCUUUUCCCAGCGUACCUGCUGAUUAUGUUAUCUUUUUGACCAAAGGCAAAAAAUGUUAAUUUCAAGUUCUUUUAACUUUUUUAUUUAUCUAUGUGGUUGGGCUGAUCUUUUUCCACUACACAGUACAUUUGCAUACAAAUGAAAUAUGUAAUAAUAAUAACUAAUUGUUUUCCAAUAUGCAGCAGCAGAGUUGGAACAUUAUCAGUUACCAAGUUUAGGGAGUUGGUGUUUUUGUUUAGUUUUUUUUCAAACUGUUUGUAAUUUAUCAUUUGUUAAUGAGUACAACUAAGCAAUACAUCAAAGCGUGAGUUUGGAUAUGUUUUUUUCGGGGGCGGGGUGAUUAAAGAACAACGAUAAAGAAGCUUCAAGCAGAUAAAUGAAAAAUGUCUUUUAUUCAAAUGUUUGGAUUACUGGUGUAACACACAUCUGUGUCUGUGGGUAUCAUCUUUGUCAUCCCACAUUGUUAUCCAUUGUUUAUUAUACUGACUAAUUUGUAGUUUUGGAAGAUUUUGUCUUUUUUUUUUCUCCAAGAAUUGAAAAGAAUAAGAAGUUAAUAAAUCAUCAUCUGAAAUUGGUAAUUAA